AGACCGGGACCCAUUUUUAUUCUGCAUGGCUGCUGGAAACAUCGUGUCACAUCUUUGAUUAAUUUCAUCCGAAAAUAAACAACCACAGAUCGCUCCAUCCAUUCCAUGGCUGAAGCAUACAUUUUCAUUUAAUCUGAACAGAUAUCCCAGAAAGAUGAAGCUGAGGAAGAGCUGCAGAGU